rnacentral:misc_RNA from 1 species
GAUGAAGAACGCAGCGAAAUGCGAUACGUAAUGUGAAUUGCAAAUUCAGUGAAUCAUCGAGUCUUUGAACGCACAUUGCGCUCCCUGGUAUUCCGGGGGGCAUGCCUGUCCGAGCGUCAUUGCUGCCCUCAAGCACGGCUUGUGUGUUGGGCCCCGUCCUCCGAUCCCGGGGGACGGGCCCGAAAGGCAGCGGCGGCACCGCGUCCGGUCCUCGAGCGUAUGGGGCUUUGUCACCCGCUCUGUAGGCCCGGCCGGCGCUUGCCGAUCAACCCAAAUUUUUUAUCCAGGUUGACCUCGGAUCAGGUAGGGAUACCCGCUGAACUUAAGCAUAUCAAUAAGCGGAGGA